UGUUAAUCGGUGUCUAUGCUGCUGAUGCUCUCCUGAGCUUCACGGAUUGUGUUCAGAGAUGCAAAUCAGAGAUUCUUCCAGGGGAAAUCUCUGGUUUGAGAGUAAUUUGCAUAGAGAAGGAGAUUUCUGAGUUUGUGAGUGGAAAUGGGAGUAAAGAGAAAAUGAGAUUGAAGUUUGAGGAAGUUUUUGGGAUGGUUCAGCAAUGUUCAGGGCCUGGUAUGGUUGUGAAUUAUGGAAAUUGGAGCGAUUUUCUCACUGAAGUAGAAGAAGAAGAAGAAGA
rnacentral:misc_RNA from 1 species